rnacentral:rRNA from 1 species
GAGUUUGAUCGUGGCUCAGAACGAACGCUGGCGGCAGGCUUAACACAUGCAAGUCGAGCGCCCCGCAAGGGGAGCGGCAGACGGGUGAGUAACGCGUGGGAAUCUACCCAAUACUACGGAAUAGCUCCGGGAAACUGGAAUUAAUACCGUAUGUGCCCUACGGGGGAAAGAUUUAUCGGUAUUGGAUGAGCCCGCGUUGGAUUAGCUAGUUGGUGGGGUAAUGGCCUACCAAGGCGACGAUCCAUAGCUGGUCUGAGAGGAUGAUCAGCCACACUGGGACUGAGACACGGCCCAGACUCCUACGGGAGGCAGCAGUGGGGAAUAUUGGACAAUGGGCGAAAGCCUGAUCCAGCCAUGCCGCGUGAGUGAUGAAGGCCUUAGGGUUGUAAAGCUCUUUCAGUAGGGAAGAUAAUGACGGUACCUACAGAAGAAG